AUAGAAGCCCACUGCUGCUGUCGUUUGCGUCCCUGGAGCUGAUGAGCCUGGAAUCCUGCCGAGUCCAGUUGUUUGCUUGAAAUCUGCAUCCCGGGCAGCUGGAGGGUGGCUACUCACAGGUGCUCUGGUCUAACCUCGAAGAUGCUCCAACUGGGCUUGCACCUUCCUAAUCAACAGCUCCUGGGCAGCAUGAACAGCUGGCUCUCCCAGGUCUUGGCCAGCUUCCCAACUUUCUCAGGGUUCCCAUUGAUGACAUCACCACCACCCCCCCUGUCAGCAGGAAGUAAUCUGAAGAACACAGUGCUCGCACUCCUGCCCCACCAUCACAUCACCCCUCCCUAGCUCCUCACUUUUUCAUUGAAAGAGAAGGGAGAGCCGGGCGGUUGUGGUGGCGCAGGCCUUUAAUCCCAGCACUCGAGAGGCAGAUUCAGGUGGAUUUCUGAAUUCGAGGCCAGCCUGGUCUACAAAGUGAGUUCCAGGAAUGCCAGGGCCAUACAGAGAAACCCUGUCUUGAAAAACCAGAGAGAGAGAAAGAGAGGAGAGAGAGAGAGAGAGAGAGAGAGAGAGAGAGAGAGAGAGAGAGAGAGAGAGAGAGAGAGAAACGUCAGUUUAUAGGCGGUUCGGCUAAGGUCCUCCCAGACUCCUAGCAAGGGCUUAUGUCCUCAUAUGCCACCAUUACCUGGCACCGUCAGGUGCAGGUGGCCUGGUGCAUAAAAGGACUACUCUCCACCCCAGUUGACUCACUCUCCCUCUUCUAAUGUGUUCCUGGCUGUCUGUCCUUCCUGUCCUCUGUCCCCUCUCUUUGUCCUCUUGGCUCUGCUCCCAUCUGUCUGUCUGCUCCUACCCCUCCUCCAGGCCCUCACUCUCCUCCCU
rnacentral:lncRNA from 1 species